AUUGAACGCUGGCGGCAGGCCUAACACAUGCAAGUCGAGCGAGCGGCGGACGGGUGAGUAAUGUCUGGGAAACUGCCUGAUGGAGGGGGAUAACUACUGGAAACGGUAGCUAAUACCGCAUACCAUCAGAUGUGCCCAGAUGGGAUUAGCUAGUAGGUGGGGUAACUGCUCACCUAGGCGACGAUCCCUAGCUGGUCUGAGAGGAUGACCAGCAACACUGGAACUGAGAAACCGUCCAGACUCUGACGGGAGGCAGCAGUGGGGAAUAGUGCACAAUGAGCGCAAGCCUGAUGCAGCCAUGCCGCGUGUGUGAAGAAGGCCUUCGGGUUGUAAAGCAGUUUCAGCGUGGAGGCGUUACCCGCAGAAGAAGCACCGGCUAAAUCCGUGCCAGCAGCCGCGGUAAUUC
rnacentral:rRNA from 1 species